rnacentral:rRNA from 1 species
AUACGUAGGUGACAAGCGUUAUCCGGAUUUACUGGGCGUAAAGGGCGUGUAGGCGGUCUUGCAAGUCAGAAGUGAAAUUCCUGAGCUCAACUCGGGCGCUGCUUCUGAAACUGCAGGACUUGAGUGCUGGAGGGGAUAGCGGAAUUCCUAGUGGAGCGGUAAAAUGCGCAGAUAUUAGGAAGAACACCGGUGGCGAAGGCGGCUAUCUGGACAGUAACUGACGCUGAGGCGCGAAAGCGUGGGGAGCAAACAGGAUUAGAUCCCCUGGUAGUCCACGCUGUAAACGAUGAAUACUAGGUGUAGGGGGUAUCGACUCCCUCUGUGCCGCAGUUAACACAAUAAGUAUUCCGCCUGGGGAGUACGGCCGCAAGGUUGAAACUCAAAUGAAUUGACGGGG